rnacentral:tRNA from 11 species
GGGCCCGUAGCUUAGCUUGGUGGAGCGCCCGGCUGAUAGGGUGCUCAGAAACCGGGAGGUCACGGGUUCAAAUCCCGUCGGGCCCA